rnacentral:rRNA from 1 species
CCUACGGGAGGCAGCAGUGGGGAAUAUUGGGCAAUGGGCGCAAGCCUGACCCAGCAACGCCGCGUGAAGGAAGAAGGCUUUCGGGUGGUAAACUUCUUUUCUGAGGGACGAAGAAAGUGACGGUACCGCAGGAAUAAGCAACGGCUAACUACGUGCCAGCAGCCGCGGGAAUACGUAGGUGGCAAGCGUUAUCCGGAUUUAUUGGGUGUAACGGGCGUGUAGGCGGGAAAGCAAGUCAGAUGUGAAAACUCCGGGCUCAACCCUGAGCCUGCAUUUGAAACUGUUUUUCUUGCGUGCUGGAGAGGCAAUCGGAAUUCCGUGUGUAGCGGUGAAAUGCGUAGAUAUACGGAGGAACCCCAGUGGCGAAGGCGGAUUGCUGGACAGUAACUGACGCUGAGGCGCGAAAGCGUGGGGAGCAAACAGGGUUAGAUACCCGAGUAGUC